GAUGAACGCUGACAGAAUGCUUAACACAUGCAAGUCAACUGUGGCGGACGGGUGAGUAACGCGUAAAGAACUUGCCUCACAGCUAGGGACAACAUUUGGAAACGAAUGCUAAUACCUGAUACUGUGAGAGAGCUUUGCGUCCCAUUAGCUAGGUGGAGAGGUAACGGCUCACCAAGGCGAUGAUGGGUAGCCGGCCUGGGAGGGUGAUCGGCCACAAGGUGACUGAGACACGGCCCUGACUCCUACGGGAGGCAGCAGUGGGGGAUAUUGGACAAGGGACCAAAGUCUGAUCCAGCAAUUCUGUGUGAAAGAUGAAGUUUUCGGAAUGUAAAGUGCUUUCAGUUGGGAAGCGGUACCAACAGAAGAAGUGACGGCUAACUACGUGCCAGCAGCCGCGGUAAUUC
rnacentral:rRNA from 1 species